UACUCGGAUUUUGCAAAUUUUUAGUAUAUAGAUACAAUGACAGUCAGAGAUUUUAUGCUAAAUGGGCAUGGGAUGCUUGGAUGUGUCCCUUCAAACCAAGUCCACGUUUAAAAUUUGCUGAAUAGCGACAUUGUUUGGGAAAAAUACUCCGGCAGAAAAGAGUCUAAACUGUGGAUAGACAUCAGUCUGACAUCUGUGUGUUUAUUUCCAUAAGUGAAGUUUGUAUCAACUGACUGAAGGAUCAGUGUUAAAGGAUAACACUACAAUGAAAACAGCUGUGAGUUGUUUCUUUUGAAAAUGACUGCUUGAUGAUAAAGUUUCAAACAACUAUGAAGUGAGUGGAUGUUCUAGAGAGACUAAUUCUUCAAAGAAUGAAUGAUGAUCAUCAUCCUUAUAUUGGAAUAAAAGGAAGGAAGUGACAGCUACAGUCAGGUUAAAAGUAAAUGCAGUCAGAAGACCUCUGAUAUCACCUGAAGAGCCAGCCUUCUCAAGAUUCUGUAUCAAAUAAAAAUAACAAGGACUGCUAGAAAGACUUUUUAUAACUUGCAAAUGUGCAGCCUGUGACAUAACUGUCUGAUCCAGGUAGUUUA
rnacentral:lncRNA from 1 species